rnacentral:lncRNA from 1 species
GGACGCAUUCGGCUUGGAACUCUCAACUAGGAGGCAUUUCAUGCUGGAUGUGCAGCUCAGUGACCGUUGUUAGACCCGAGGCAGACCCAUUUGAUUUUAGAUGCGGUGCACUUGGAAUCAGACCCACCAAGUUCUGCAGCCCAGAGGGCGGCUCGGAUGGGAACACCUGUAGCCGGUGCUCAGGGAUUAAGAAGCACUUGUUCCAGCUGUAGGCCCUGCCAAAUGCCUCCCCACCCCUGCAAUGGGAUCCGGCCCAUGCGGAGGGCGGGGGGGGCCCGCUUGCAUCACAUUCUUCCAGGCUUAACUGCUCAGCAACCAAAGUGGAAACAGCUUUCCCCACCUCCUGGCCGACCCAGUGUACAAUAGGGUCCACUGUCGCCACAGAGCAGGCCCACCGGUGCCGGACGCUGCCCCGCCUCCCCCCAGAGAGCUGUCGAGGACUUUCCUGAGGGUCUGAUGGGGGUGGGGGUGGGGGUGGGGGACAACGGUUCUUUAGCAGGAAGAAGAAUAACCUAAUAUGCACGUGCAAAAAAUGCAGGCUUGAAGGGCAAUGACAGUUUAGUUCACAUUUAUCUUGAAAAAAUGUUUUCUUUUUCGACCACCCUGCAGCAUAGAGAGUUCCCUGGUGCAGCAAAGCCAGAUCCUUAACCCUCUGUGCCAGGCUGAGGAUUGAACCCUGAUCAAACCUGCAUCCCCGCGCUCCAGAGACGCCACAGAUCCCGUUGAGCCACAGCAGCCACUGCCACUGGCUUUAAAUUGCUGCCUUGAUUCAGCGGAAUCCAUAGGAUGCAGGGUUAUGGGUGUGGCACAGGACUACAGGACAAGUGGUUCUGGAACUUCUGUUACAACUAUGACCUUGUCCCUUGCAGUGGGGCCCAGCUGGACAGGCAGACGUGUGGUCUCUUUAGCAGAGAUGUUUAGCACGACUUUAAUCCUCCGAGCAGGAGCUGGGGAGGCAGCCUGGAGCCGGCUUCACAAAGCGAGGCCAGGUGGGCUCAGAGUUGGUUGCAGGGAGGUGGGGCCCAGCUCAUGCUCCAGGCUUUCUAGCCUCUCAGCCAAGCCCCUGGAGGGGCCUUUUCAACGCCAAGUGACAAGUGUCAUCUAGUGUUUGCUUGGCAGUUUUUUCAUGCUCUACCCAUUGUUUCAAAAAUUCUUUCUAACAAGGGCCCUUUGCCACCCACCUUGUUUCGUUUUAAUUUCCUUUAUUCUGUCUCUGCUUCCUUCGAAGGGAAGGUACUAGGCUGUCCUGGAAGAGACUUGAGCCUGAUUUUUUCUCGCAAAACUCUGAUUGAGGAGAAACCAAGAAAAAUGUCAUUUAAAGCGACUUCAAGUAUUUUUCUGCCUUGUUAGAAAUGGCACAUUGAACUGACCUAUGGGAUAUACCCUUUCGUUCUGGGCAAAACUAAAACAAAAGAAAUUCUUUAUGGGGAGACCAGUGUAACUGCGAAAAGGAGACAUCCUUAUUCUUGGAGGAAAAGCUAAGUGGGGUGAAGCAACCCCAAACCAAGGGAUGAAUGUUCCGUGGGUAAUGCCACGGGCGAAGGCGGCACACACGGUGUCCCUCCUUUCUCUCGGUGUCAAGAACACGGAGUCGGGUGUGUCGGGGCUCAGCAGGCGCCCCAUGCACACGUGUCCAUUGACGCCCUGACUUCAGACGUUGUGGGGGUUCCUCUGUGUCGGAUUGGGUGGGUCUCUCUUUUUGGACGGUAAGAGGGUGGGUCUUUCCUUAAGCAAAUGCUAUGCGGUUCUCAAGUUGGUGUGACUUGAAUUCCUACAACAGAAUCAUUUCAAAUGCACCAGAGAAAAAGCAUUUAGAAAUCCCCCGGGAGCAUUCUGCAGUGAUUAGCUAGAAAGUUGAAAGUGAAAUAUGCUUUAUCUGUUUGCUUUAUUUUAUUUUUAAAAAGCAGACAACUCCUGUAAUUAGUAAGGAUAAGGAUAAGGACCACCCCUAUAGCUGAUACAGUUUCUCCCCCAAGAGGGUCCGUGUUGGUUAUGGAUUAUCGGAAAUGAUAUUACCUGACCCUAUUCAUUCCCCCAAAUAGUCCCGCUGAAGUCUUGCAGGAAAAUCGAUUCUGGAUGAAUGCACCUCUCGUUCACAGACGGGAAGAGGUCUUUGAGCCCUUCCAGAACAGAGAGGAGAAGGUUCUGGAACAAGACGGUGGGUUUUGGUUGGCCGUGUUCUCCAAAUAGCUCCUAUGCGUGAAGGGAGAGGCAGGGAGCAAGAGCAGGGGAAAGAGCUUGAAAGGAAAAUUACUCAGACCCCAGGGAAGAGAGGACAACUCAAGAUAAAGCCCCUGGACAGCUGCAGGCUCCACAUGCGGUUUAAAAUCAUCAUAUCCAUGCCUAGAAGACCUAAUGCAUCACUGAGGGAAUGCUCUAGAGUCUGAUAUAUGGCAGCUUUAUUUCAAAGAAGAUAAAGAAGAGGAGGAGAAGGAGGAGGGGAGGAAUUCCAGGAGCCAAAUCAAUAAAAUUGUUUGGUUACAUAGUACUUCCGGGUGCCCAACUCUUUGUAAGCCCUACUGGUUGUUUUCAGGCACAGAAGGACCUGCUCAUAACAGCUGUUGAUUACACGGGUCCAACACUCUGCAGGUCUGAUAAUGCUUUUCUGACAUCAAAGCAAUUGCAGGUGAUAACGGCCUGAUGGAUCACAACAGUGAAGCUCCUAAAUUCAGUGGGAAUCCAGUCCCUUUGUCUGUGGCAGAAAGGGUUUCUAUUGUGUCUGUCACUUAAAAACAUUCAGCUCACAAAGGCUACCGCUAACAAAAGGUCCGACAAGGUCGGUGAGAAAUAGAUGGAUUCAAUUCCUCUGAGCUCAGCCUCACAUGUGUUGGGCUGACAGGUAAAUAUUGGCUAAAGCGGACCUGAGAGCUGAGAGGAGGCAGACACACUGAAAAAACAAAAACCCUUUCCUCAUUCCUGGGCCAAAGGCCACCACCGUUUUAAUUUUUCUUAAUAACAAGAAGCUGUUGGAAGUCAAGCAGUGCCUGGCAAUGGCCAUGUGCUCCUUUCACCUCUGGGGGACAUGGGCUAAUUCUGUCACCCACCUCAGGGCGUGACAGGAACUCAGGAAAACAGGCAGCGAGAAAAAUUGGGGAGUAUGGCAGGGGGUCUCAUAAAGACGAAAGGGGCACAAUGGGCCUGAGGCGACCAGAGAGACGGACGAGGGUGAAUGUUAAGCCAGGAAUGUGGAAAGCCAGUUUGCAAACGGCCAUCCUGUGCUCACCCUUAACCAACCUGGCUUUACCGAUGCUCCUGCGAUACAGCGAACUGUCUUUCUCGCCUGCCUUUGACUGUGAAUUCACUUUAUGGGCGGCAGGAGGAACGGUAUUAAGUCGAUGCCAUCAGUGGCACAGUCACAUUUUACAGCAAAUUUCUCUCUGCAUCUCGUGGAAAUGAAGGCGUGACUCCCUGACUGCGUGAUGAACGCCGGCCGAUACCAGAGAGCAUCAUUCAGCCUGAGGGCCAAGUUCAGCGGAUGGUAAUGACAGCUAACAUCUACUGCGUGCUCCCCGUGUACUCUAAGCUGCUGCGUGGACCUGGCCAGCCCUCACCUGGUCCGUGGGGUCGAGGGGCCGAGGCGGGUUCUCCUCCAUGACCUUGCCCGUUGGCGUCCACACCCGGGCGCCGGGGCCCAUUCAGCCCCCUGUUCCUUGUCUAAGUGCUCUUCCGGCGGCACCGUCCCAGCUGCAUCCCCUCUGAUAUUCUUGAAGCCAGUGCAAGUCUCAGCUGGGUCGGCGAUGGGUGCUCACUUAGGACAGAUGCAGACACCGAGCUCUCCCAGAAAGUGGACCAGGCGGUUCAGACCCAUGGUUUUAGGCAAAUGAACAAGAAGCUUCAUGAGCAAAGUUGGGGAGUCAGAGCUACACCAGGGGGAGAGGAGGAGAUGCUUUCACAGGUCACCCAGGACUGCUGCAGGCUGGAUGGAAAAGCAUUUCUCACCCAGGAGGUAGACGGGGGCACUGUGCCAGGAGGAGGUGAAGCCUGGCCGGGCUCUGGGCUCUGGAUGCCUGGGGGGGGGGGCUAUGGGGAGUCCCAGGCCCAAGGUGGGGUCUGCGCUGUUGGUGAGCGAGGGGUGUACAGGUGCAAAGGGCCCCUGGCUCCCUUUGCCCCCAGGUCCUACUUUCACUUCUGUGGCAUCUUUUUAUCAUUGGCAUGUGAAUUAGCUAUAUCUACACAGCAGUCGCUUGAGUGGCUGCUGCGGUGGGGUUUGAUCCCAGGCCCGCCACGUGGGCAAGGCCACCCCUCAUGCUAUGACCCGCAUGCUGUGGGGGGUGUGGGCACCCCCCUUCCCCAUUUCCUCAAAACGGGUCCUGGGAAGGACCCACCCUCCCGCUUUGCCACCCCGGGCUGCUUCAGUUCCGAUGCUGGAGCCGAGCCAGAGACGGUGGCGGUGCAGAGGUGUGAGGACCUGCCCAGACCUUGCCCAGCGUGGGUGCCAAUCGCAAACGGCCCAGCCUGGUUCUGCCGGGCUGAGGAGAAGGAGCCGGAAUCCGUGCUGGAAAGGGUGUGAGCUAAACGCCACGCCCGGCCUCCUGGGCCCAACCGGAACGUCCAUUCCUCCGCUUUCACGGCCUCUUUCUCAGCUCUGGUCGGGCUCCUGUCUGUCCUGCAGGGAACUUCGUUUAGAAACUUCCUCGUCUUACCCCAGUGGGCCUGGGGCGCUGGGCAGGUGAGGUGAGGCCACAGAAAGGGAGCCCCUCUUUCAGCCCUGCCUGCCCCAGGCCCCCAUGGGGCGCUUCCCUGCACACGGGGCCUGGCUGGGUCGGGUCCCAGGCAGGUCCUGUGGGGAAGCUGGACUCUUUCAGGAGCGACUUGUGAGGCGUCAGUGGAGGUAAACCUUUGCAUCACUGGUCGCAGAGGGCGAGCCAGAGACUGAUCUGACCCCUGACCCCUUCCUGGGUUGGGGUCACAGGGAGUUGCCUGGGUCUAAACUCAGUCCUCGGGAGUCUGAGUUCAAACUGCAGAUUCUUCGAUCAGUUUCCCAGCCAGGAGCACCCUGAGGAGAGGAGCGCGCAUGCCAAGAGAGCUGAGCCUGGAGGCUUAGAGGCAGAAACGCUGCCCUUUGAUAGCUUCGGGGCCUUGAAAAAGUCCCGGAAUCCCCCGCCUCAGUUUCCUCAAUGGCCAACUGAGGAUAAGAAGUCACCAUGGGAGUUCCCGUCGUGGCGCAGCAGAAACGAAUCUGACUGGGAACCAUGAGGUUGCGGGUUCGAUCCCUGGCCUCGAUCAGUGGCUUAAGGAUCCAGCGUUGCUGUGAGCUGUGGGGUAGGACGGUGGCUACAGCUCCGAUUGAAGCCCUAGCCUGGGAACCUCCAUAUGCCGCAGGAUCACAACACCCUCCUCGGCCAUCACGAAGCUGCGAUGGGCUUCCUUCCACUCAGGUGCAAGCAGAAUGUUUGAGAGGUCUGUCUGUAAGCGCAUCAGCAGGCAAAUGUAUACACAUCACGACCUUCAGCUCAGUUUUGCAUCUUCGCGUGGAACUAAAAUAGAGGCCACUCUUCAAGAUAAAAACAGACUCCUGACUGCUAGCGGGUAGUGUUUGAAGACUUUUCUGGCUGUCGGACACCAGCAAGAAAGUGGCCAGGACUCCUGACUCUUUGAAAGAAGGAGUA